rfam:Aspergillus niger DNA, contig: scaffold669_006, strain: An76, whole genome shotgun sequence.
GCCCCUGUGGCGCAAUCGGUAGCGCGUAAGACUUCUAUGACAUGGUCAUCUUAAGGCUGUGGGUGCCCCACCAGGGGCU